GGGGAAUUUUCCGCAAUGGGCGAAAGCCUGACGGAGCAAUACCGCGUGAGGGAGGAAGGCUUUUGGGUUGUAAACCUCUUUUCUCAAGGAAGAAGCAAGUGACGGUACUUGAGGAAUCAGCAUCGGCUAACUCCGUGCCAGCAGCCGCGGUAAUACGGAGGAUGCAAGCGUUAUCCGGAAUUAUUGGGCGUAAAGCGUCCGCAGGUGGCGUAUCAAGUCUGCUGUCAAAGACUAGAGCUCAACUCUGGAAAGGCGGUGGAAACUGGUAGGCUAGAGUACGGUAGGGGUUGAGGGAAUUCCCAGUGUAGCGGUGAAAUGCGUAGAUAUUGGGAAGAACACCAGUGGCGAAGGCGCUCAACUGGGCCGUAACUGACACUCAGGGACGAAAGCUAGGGUAGCGAAAGGGAUUANAUACCCCUGUAGUC
rnacentral:rRNA from 1 species